AUUGAACGCUGGCGGCAGGCCUAACACAUGCCAGUCGAGCGGUAGCACAGGAGAGCUUGCUCUCUGGGUGACGAGCGGCGGACGGGUGAGUAAUGUCUGGGAAACUGCGUGAGGGAGGGGGACAACUACUGGAAACGGUAGCUAAUACCGCAUAACGUCGCCAGACCAAAGAGGGGGACCUUCGGGCCUCUUGCCAUCAGAUGUGCCCAGAUGGGAUUAGCUAGUAGGUGGGGUAACGGCGCACCUAGGCGACGAUCCCUAGCUGGUCUGACGCGGUGACCCGCCGCCACAGAACCGAGACAAGGUCCAGGCUCCUACGGGGGGCAGCAGUGGGGAAUUGUGCACAAUGGGCGCAAGCCUGAUCCAGCCAUGCCGCGUGUGUGAAGAAGGCCUUCGGGUUGUAAAGCACUUUCAGCGGGGAGGAAGGCAUUAAGGUUAAUAACCUUAGUGAUUGGCGUUACCCGCAGAAGAAGCACCGGCUAACUCCGUGCCAGCAGCCGCCGUAA
rnacentral:rRNA from 1 species